rnacentral:sRNA from 1 species
CUUGGUCAUUUAGAGGAAGUAAAAGUCGUAACAAGGUUUCCGUAGGUGAACCUGCGGAAGGAUCAUUACCGAGUUCAUGCCCUUACGGGUAGAUCUCCCACCCUUUGUAUACUAUACCUUUGUUGCUUUGGCGGGCCGCCUAGCUACUGGCUUCGGCUGGUAUGUGCCCGCCAGAGGACCCAAAACCCUGAAUUAUUAGUGUCGUCUGAGUAAAAUAUUUAAUAUUUAAAACUUUCAACAACGGAUCUCUUGGCUCCAGCAUCGAUGAAGAACGCAGCGAAACGCGAUAUGUAAUGUGAAUUGCAGAAUUCAGUGAAUCAUCGAAUCUUUGAACGCACAUGGCGCCUUCCAGUAUCCUGGGAGGCAUGCCUGUCCGAGCGUCGUUUCAACCCUCGAGCCCCCGUGGCCCGGCGUUGGGGAUCUGCCCAGGCAGUCCCCGAAAACCAGUGGCGGACCCGUUGGGCCCUUCCUUUGCGUAGUAACAUCUGCCUCGCAUCGGGAGCCUGCGGGCUAUCCGGCCUCUAAACCCCCCUCAAGCCCGCUCCGGCGGCACCAAGGUUGACCUCGGAUCAGGUAGGAAUACCCGCUGAACUUAAGCAUAUCAAUAAGCGGAGGAAAAGAAACCAACAGGGAUUGCCUCAGUAACGGCGAGUGAAGCGGCAACAGCUCAAAUUUGAAAUCUGGCUCCUUCGGGGCCCGAGUUGUAAUUUGCAGAGGAUGCUUCGGGUACGGGUUCCUUCCGAGUUCCCUGGAACGGGACGCCAUAGAGGGUGAGAGCCCCGUCUGGUAGGACACCCAGCCCGUGUGAAGCUCCCUCGACGAGUCGAGUUGUUUGGGAAU